rnacentral:lncRNA from 1 species
CGGCGCACCACAUCUUCCACCUGAUAUGUUGCGCGCCACCGUGGAAGAUGUGCCUCGCAUGCAGUUCUUGGAGCGUCUGAGUGGUGCUCAUAUUGAAUUCUCAUAUAUGUAAUUAACAAUAAACGUUGGCAUGUGUUGUUUGGAAGCUUGGUCUGUGCUGGCUCAUUUGGUGGUUGCGCAUUCCUUGAUCGCGCAUUCUGCAUUUCUGCAGCACCACAAUCCCUCCAUUGGUGACUUUUGGUGGUAUUUUGUUUUCUUUCGAAAUCGAAACCGCAAGUUCUGCUGUGUACCUCCACCGAAUUUUGUUACGUUUCGUCCAAUGCAUGAUUCG